AUUGUUGAUUUUCUAAUUACUUGUGCAGAGUGUUGAAGAGGCAGAAUGUCGUAGGGCAUAUGAUUCUGGUACUGAGGCAUACACUUCAUCUUUUGACCGCACGAAGCCAGCAGAGGAGGCUGUUCUUAGAGAAGCACACGAAGUUGCGGUUCAAAAUGCUCACUGAAGUCAUUCACUGAAACUUUUGUGGCAAAGAUGAAAUCAUAUCCUUAUCAUUGAUGCAGUUACAUGUUUUUUUUUCUAUUAUUUAUUUUCAAUACCUUUUCUAUUAGUUCCUAAACUUGUCUGGUACAGUCACUGGUAAAAUUGUUGCCAUGAAAAGUAUAGCAGCAUACAGAAGUGGCUUGGACAUUAAUACAAA